rnacentral:misc_RNA from 1 species
AUUUGAGGGUAAAAAGGUUGGUGAGUUUUAGGUGUGGAGGCAAAAACUGAAGAAUUGGCAAAAAUGGCAGAUAGGUAUAGGUUGGUUUCAAUUGAGGAAUUGCCAUCGCAUUUGAUUUUGGAGAUACUGACGACAGGCAGGCUUAGUGCCGUUGAUCUUGUUUGUUUAGAGUUAACUUCUACGACUUUUGGAGGGAGCCAUGGUUUAUACCCUAACAAAUGCAAGUCAAUGGUAGAUUUUGCCGCAUUUCAGCUGUGUUUGUCACAUGGCGUUUAUAAUGGGAUGUCACUUGAUGCCCAGAAAGAAUUGUUUGAU